AGGCUUAACACAUGCAAGUCGAGGGGCAGCAUUUUAGUUUGCUUGCAAACUGAAGAUGGCGACCGGCGCACGGGUGAGUAACACGUAUCCAACCUGCCGAUAACUCCGGAAUAGCCUUUCGAAAGAAAGAUUAAUACCGGAUAGCAUACGAAUAUCGCAUGAUAUUUUUAUUAAAGAAUUUCGGUUAUCGAUGGGGAUGCGUUCCAUUAGUUUGUUGGCGGGGUAACGGCCCACCAAGACUACGAUGGAUAGGGGUUCUGAGAGGAAGGUCCCCCACAUUGGAACUGAGACACGGUCCAAACUCCUACGGGAGGCAGCAGUGAGGAAUAUUGGUCAAUGGGCGAGAGCCUGAACCAGCCAAGUAGCGUGAAGGAUGAAGGCUCUAUGGGUCGUAAACUUCUUUUAUAUGGGAAUAAAGUUUUCCACGUGUGGAAUUUUGUAUGUACCAUAUGAAUAAGGAUCGGCUAACUCCGUGCCAGCAGCCGCGGUAAUACGGAGGAUCCGAGCGUUAUCCGGAUUUAUUGGGUUUAAAGGGAGCGUAGGUGGAUUGUUAAGUCAGUUGUGAAAGUUUGCGGCUCAACCGUAAAAUUGCAGUUGAAACUGGCAGUCUUGAGUACAGUAGAGGUGGGCGGAAUUCGUGGUGUAGCGGUGAAAUGCUUAGAUAUCACGAAGAACUCCGAUUGCGAAGGCAGCUCACUAGA
rnacentral:rRNA from 1 species